GACGAACGCUGGCGGCGUGCUUAACACAUGCAAGUCGAACGGAAAGGCCCUGCUUUUGUGGGGUGCUCGAGUGGCGAACGGGUGAGUAACACGUGAGUAACCUGCCCUUGACUUUGGGAUAACUUCAGGAAACUGGGGCUAAUACCGGAUAGGAGCUCCUGCUGCAUGGUGGGGGUUGGAAAGUUUCGGCGGUUGGGGAUGGACCCGCGGCUUAUCAGCUUGUUGGUGGGGUAGUGGCUUACCAAGGCUUUGACGGGUAGCCGGCCUGAGAGGGUGACCGGCCACAUUGGGACUGAGAUACGGCCCAGACUCCUACGGGAGGCAGCAGUGGGGAAUAUUGCACAAUGGGCGGAAGCCCGAUGCAGCAACGCCGCGUGCGGGAUGACGGCCUUCGGGUUGUAAACCGCUUUCGCCUGUGACGAAGCGUGAGUGACGGUAAUGGGUAAAGAAGCACCGGCUAACUACGUG
rnacentral:rRNA from 1 species